ACGAACGCUGGCGGCGUGCUUAACACAUGCAAGUCGAACGGAAAGGCCCUGCUUGCAGGGUGCUCGAGUGGCGAACGGGUGAGUAACACGUGGGCGAUCUGCCCCUUACUUUGGGAUAAGCCUGGGAAACUGGGUCUAAUACUGGAUAGGACCAUGCUGUAGGUGGUGUGGUGGAAAGAUUAGUUUCGGUAAGGGAUGAGCUCGCGGCCUAUCAGCUUGUUGGUGGGGUAAUGGCCUACCAAGGCGUCGACGGGUAGCCGGCCUGAGAGGGUGGACGGCCACAUUGGGACUGAGAUACGGCCCAGACUCCUACGGGAGGCAGCAGUGGGGAAUAUUGCACAAUGGGCGCAAGCCUGAUGCAGCGACGCCGCGUGGGGGAUGACGGCCUUCGGGUUGUAAACUCCUUUCAGCCAUGACGAAGCCCUUGUGGUGACGGUAGUGGUAGAAGAAGCACCGGCUAACUACGUG
rnacentral:rRNA from 1 species